UACGUAGGGUGCAAGCGUUGUCCGGAAUUAUUGGGCGUAAAGAGCUCGUAGGCGGUCUGUCGCGUCGGCUGUGAAAACCCGGAGCUCAACUCCGGGCCUGCAGUCGAUACGGGCAGACUGGAGUUCGGCAGGGGAGACUGGAAUUCCUGGUGUAGCGGUGGAAUGCGCAGAUAUCAGGAGGAACACCGAUGGCGAAGGCAGGUCACUGGGCCGCAACUGACGCUGAGGAGCGAAAGCAUGGGGAGCGAACAGG
rnacentral:rRNA from 1 species